rnacentral:sRNA from 1 species
CUUCAUAAUAGGGGCUAGAUGUGUGAAGCCUGGCUUUAAUUUUUGCUUAGUAGGAUCAAUGUCAUAUUUAUUUAUUGGACAUAACCUAGGUUUCACUCUUUGAACAUUAUUUUAAGGGAUAAAAAGUUACUUGAGAGUCAUGUGAGGAGUUGAGCUUGGAGAUAGCACCAUAAGCCAAACAUUUAUGCUAAUUUUAUGUAAAUUAUGUGCUAUGGUCCACGCCCUGCCCCCACAUGCGAUUAAAAACUUGAUUUUUAGUGUGCUAAAGCACAUGCUAAAACAGAUGCUAAAUUUUAAAAAGGCAAGGGUCUUUUAAAAUGCUUGAUGUCUGUGAGGUUGACAGGAGAAAUAUUAAAUAAAUAAAAAUACACACACUGUUUAAGGAUUCUGUGUUUUCUUUCUCAUAGGAACCACUCGUUUUGACUAUUAUUUUAUCACUCUUUGUGAAACUUCACAAUGUUCGGGAGGACAUUGUGAAUGAUAUUACAGCUGAACACAUUUCUAUUUGGCCAUCUUCCAUUCCCAAACAUCGCGUUGCUUUGUCGCCCAGGCUGGAGUGCAGUGGCGAGGUCUCAGCUUAUUGCAACCUACGCCUGCAAGGUCCAAGCGAUUCUCAUGCCUCAGCCUCCCAAGUAUCUGGGAUUACAGCCUCCAGUCUGUGGACUUUGAAGCUGUGGCAAUCACAGUGAAAGAGCUAGUUCGAUAUACACUCAGUAUAAAUCCAAAUAACCAUUCCUGGUUAAUUAUCCAGGCAGAUAUUUACUUUGCAACGAAUCAGUAUUCAGCAGCUCUUCACUAUUACCUCCAGGCAGGAGCUGUGUGUUCUGACUUCUUUAACAAGGCUGUGCCCCCUGAUGUUUAUACAGACCAGGUAAUAAAACGAAUGAUAAAAUGUUGUUCUUUGC